rnacentral:rRNA from 1 species
CGCAUGAUGUGUCGAGCUCGCAUGGGCAUGACACCAAAUGGAGGCCUCUAUUUAUAAGCUUCCGCUCGAAGAGGGGGUCGCGACGUAUCAGCUAGUUGGUAGGGUAAUGGCCUACCAAGGCUACGGCGCGUAGCGGGUCUGAGAGGACGACCCGUCACAUUGGGACCGAGAUACGGCCCAGACUCCUACGGGAGGCAGCAGUGGGGAAUAUUGCGCAAUGGUCGAAAGACUGACGCAGCAACGCCGCGUGUGGGAGGAAGCCCUUCGGGGUGUAAACCACUGUCGGGAGGGACGAAUCCCGGGCGGGCAAAUAGCCCGGACGGUUGACGGUACCUUCAAAGGAAGCACCGGCUAACCCUGUGCCAGCAGCCGCGGUAAUACAGGGGGUGCAAGCGUUGUUCGGAAUUACUGGGCGUAAAGCGCGGGCAGGUGGCCUUUUAAGUCCUGUGUGAAAUCCCGGAGCUCAACUCCGGAUGUGCAUAGGAUACUGGGAGGCUGGGGACUGGUAGAGGCAAGCGGAAUUCCUGGUGUAGCGGG